AUCAUCAACUUGAUGGACAUGAGUUUGAGUAAGCUCCAGGAGUUGGUGAUAGGUAGGCCUGGCGUGCUGCAGUUCAUGGGGUCGCAAAGAGUUGGACAUGACUGAGCGACUGAACUGAAGGGAAGACUAGGAUCUGACGUUUAAGGGGAAGGAUCUGUGUCUUUGCCUGCGGAGACAGCCCUGAAGAACUCCUGUAAAGUCAAGCUGGCGAUUUCCAAGAAGCAGUCUGGGACCUGCAUUCCCAAAGAGACCCACGAGAAAGAAAAAACGUGAGGCGGUGAAGCCUGGCGCCAUCCAGACCUCACUGCCUGACGCUGCCAUUUCCUUGGGUUGCAGGCUGACCGGAGCACCCCUACUCUACUGGCCCCUGACUUUUGAAGCCCCAGGAAUCUCUUGCUCCCUCAUCAAAUACGGACCUUAAAAUGAUGAUCCUGAUGAGACAGCCUUGGGAAAAAACGGAUUAGGGACACUUCCUCUGUAGGAGUAGUUGAUUCCAUUAAUGGGUGACAUUUUCAGCAAGUGGGAAAUUCUGACUGGUUGAAAUGAAAUCUGUGGUUCAAAAGAGGUUUUUGGUAUUCUUUUCCUUAGUGCCUCACGUGGAAGGAACCACCCCAAGCUUAUGACUGUCGUACCUCAUUCCACCUUUUUUGGGGACUAAAUUCAAAGGACUUGGAAUCACUCCUGCUUCCAAAGCCAACCAUUUGGCUUGGGGGUGGAGAGGGCUCAAGACUAUGUUCCAGGACCUCACCCAGACUGGCAGCAUUAAUGAUGGGACAUCCCGCAGGGCCUCCAGAUCCAGCCUGGCUGGGGGCUUGCCCCCACUGCCUGCCAGAUGACCACCUCCACGUGGAAAGAUGCAGUGCUGCCCCCCACCCACAUGCCUGGACCCCCACGAGCCUCUCAAAGGAGGCAUGGUCCGUUUUCCCCACAGGUAGGCUUAGGUUUCUAAGCAUAUUCCGAUGGGGCAUCUGAACAGCGGAUGCCAGCAGUUCUCUGCUUUCUUGGAGGGGUCCAUACACUGCUCCUCGUGACCGCACAGUCAAGUGAGAAAUGUGAGAAGAGCUCGUGACCAGACACACCGGGCACCUGCAGAACAAGAUGCCAGCCGAACAGAGCUGUUGGCUGUUGCAAGCUCUCACCGAUGACACUUGGGCCAGUUGCUCACCCUUCACCGAUGCUUUACCUCUAAGGUGCCACCAGUGUGCCUUCACAGGGAUCCCCAAAGGACUGAGCAGCUUAAGUAUUGUGUAUUACUUCCAGAAAGGAUUUGAGAUGACUUGCCAUGGAAGGCCCACAGAUAAAACUGUUCAAGGGAGAAUAAAGGUAAGAACCAAAUGAUAAACAGCAACUGGUGUAAAGAAACCUUGGCCAAGAACUAGUGCUGCAGCUAGAGCCCGGCAUUUAUCCUGGGCCUCCUGGUGCAAAGGCGAGAAGCCUUUCAGGGUGUACAACCCGGUCAUUAGAGUAUUGUCUAAAAUGGCCUAAUACCUGACCUCUGCCCGUGUUUCUGAAUAAAGACUGGCUGGAGAUUCAGUUUGGUAUCUACCUGUUGCCUACUAGAAGAUGCGGAGGCCGUCAUCUUUGUGGAUGGUACAGAGAUGGGUCCCAGGCUGCCCUGCUCUCAGUGACGUAAGGACAGACAUGGAAGGGGAUCUUUUCUAAAACUCCAAUCACAAAGGGAAGGCGCUCAUCAGACUUCCUGGGCCCCGAGUGCAUGGUCUUACCUCAAAGUCGUUUCCCUUGUUAUAGUGCAUAUUGAGAGCUCGAAAAAGUUCUGAGUCGCGGAGAACCACCAGCAUUUUGGGAUUUGUGACACCAUCUGAAAUCGCUUGCCGAGCAAAUUUCUCCAUCUGUAUGUAAUAAAACUCACGGAAGUUGCUGAACCACUUGAUCAUCUGGGAGGUGAUGCAGCGGUUGAACUGUGCAAACAACAGGAUCCAUGAAGUCAGACGUUUGCCACGAGGUGCUCAGAGUCAGAACUGCCAGCUUCCAAUUCAACACAGGGCUUAGCAAGAGUGGCUUCAAUUCACACUAAACAGGGCUUUCUUUAAAAAAGAAGUCACAGCUAUUUUCUAAGCCUAUACAGUUAUACAUAGAAAAAUCUGAAUUAGCUGUAAUACCCAGUAGAAAACAAAUGUAUUUUAUAGCCUAGACUUAUAAAAGUUUUUCACUCCUUAAGUGUGACUUUGGGAGGGCCCAAGGUCAAGAUCAGUGUGGUCCCAGUGUCUGCAGCACCCACGUAGAUUACAUCACAGCCCCAGUGCCCUCUGCCAGGUAGAGCCAAGGGAAGGGGUAAUGGUAUAGAUCAGAGGACUAGGUAUUGGCAACUCAGAGUUGCAGAAUGAAUCAAAAAUGAGAACUUGGAUCAGGGAAGAAGCAAGCGACUGGGUAUGAGGGAAAUAGCUCAAAAAAAAAAAAAAAACCAUAGGAUGAUUGAGAUACAAAGGAUACAAAGUAUUAACAGCCCCUAACCCAACACCCAGGGUAAAGGAGACCCUCUGAAACCAUGGAAACAUCCAAGGCCUGGUUCCAACCAUCAGAGCUUGAUUUUUCUCAUUGUCACAUUGAUUUGUAUGGUCCUUCACUCAGUUUUGAAACAAAAAAGUUCAAAGGUAAAUUUAACAGCCACAGUGUGCAACUCUUGAUAUAUUCUUUCUUUUUUAUAGUGUCCCCAGCAAAGACAGAACACUAGGCUAAAGGUGCUGUUUACUCUUGGUUCUGUAAGCCCGCCUCCUUCCCCAAGUGUUUCUGGGUCUUAGCUAUAGCUCAGAAGCUUACGUUCAGAGACCCGACCUUCCUUCCCCCAAAGUUACCCCUGUUUGUUCAGUCUCUCAGCCCAGGACAAAAAUCCCACGACAAGAAGAGGAGCUGAAGUGCACAGAUGAUGACCUAGGAUUUGACUCCACGUGGGAAACACCUCUGGCCCUGGGGAGUUUUGCAGAGACUGAAACUCAGUUGAAGGACUUUACCUGAACAUCAGGGAAAUAAGCCUUCAGGAGGCUGGAGCUGGGGUAGCGUGUGAAGAAAAACAUUAGUUUGGCCUUCUUCAAGUGACCAGGAUUGAGGCCCUCCUGGAUUUGGCCCAGGGUCAAGGAAAACUAAGACCAGUUUAUCAAAUGAUUUUGUCAAAUUAUCCACAUGGUAAAUUGCCCUGUUCCUUAUGGUUUCUAUUUAAUUUUUUUCCGGUUGAAUGAUGUAUUUGCUUCAUUUUUCUGUCUCUAGCAAGUAUGAUCAGAUAAACUUCUUUCUUUCCAGAUGCUGAAUACCAUCUAUGUACAGUAAAGUUGCAGAGUUUAAAAAACAUUUUGAUGUGUUAAAGAUCUAUUGCAUAUGUGAUAGCAAAUACAAUUUGUUGUACUCAGUGUGAGUGUGUGCGCUUUCACAAUAGGGUGGGAAGAGAUGGCAGCUGUCCCCCAGAUAAACUAUGUUAAAACCCCAAGUAGAGACUUGCUUCUCUCUGUCUCAGUUUCCUUGUCUGUAAAAUGAGAGGAGUCAACUAGAUGGUCCCCUUUCUGGCCCUCAUCGUUGUGUUUGUGGUGUUGAUGCCAGUGAGCACCUAACCUGACUGAGUACCAGAUCAUGGUACUCAGUGAUCUGGCUUUGGCUCAAGAAGCUUGAAUUGCCAGGCUGCACUUCUUUCUGUUUGCCUGGCAGAAGUUCCCCCUCACCCUCCCCACCUCAACUCAGAUGCCCCCUCUGCUGUGAAACGCUUCCUUGCCGAGGUAGGCCUUCCUUACCCUGGGCUACCAGCGUUCUUUGUGUAAGCUGUUUUUUUAAGAAUGAUGUGAUUGGGAUCUUUAGUGCAUGUUUGUCUCCCCAUUUAGACUGUGAGCUCCUUGAGAGCAAGGGCCUUACCCUUUCAUCUUUGUAUUCCACGUGCCUAGCCUGGUGCUAGGAGCAGAGUAGGUGCUCAAUAAAUGUUUGGUGAAUGAA